UUUGACCUCAAAUCAGGUAGGACUACCCGCUGAACUUAAGCAUAUCAAUAAGCGGAGGAAAAGAAACUAACAAGGAUUCCCCUAGUAACUGCGAGUGAAGCGGGAAAAGCUCAAAUUUAAAAUCUGGCAGUCUUUGGCUGUCCGAGUUGUAAUCUAGAGACA
rnacentral:rRNA from 1 species